rnacentral:rRNA from 1 species
GGUUCGAUCGCGCUCAGAUUGAACGCUGGCGGGAUGCUUUACACAUGCAAGUCGAACGGCAGCACGGACUUCGGUCUGGUGGCGAGUGGCGAACGGGGUGAGUAAUGUAUCGGAACGCCUAGUAGCGGGGAUAAUCACGCGCGAAAGCGUAGCUACUGUCGCAAUAAUACCUUCGUGUGGCGGGGACCUUCGGCCCCGCACUAUUGUGGAGCGGCCGAUAUCGGAUUAGCCAGUUGGUGCAACGGCUCACCAAGGCGACGAUCCGUAGCUGGUUUGAGAGGACGACCAGCCACACUGGGACUGAGACACGACCCAGACUCCUACGGGAGGCAGCAGUGGGAAUUUGGAUACCGGGGAAAUCCUCGAUUCAGCCAUCCGCGUGAUGAAGGCCUUCGGGUUGUAAAGUACUUUGGCAGGAAAGAAACGGCACGGGAUAAUACCCCGUGCAACUGACGGUACUGCAGAAUAAGCACCGGCUAACUACCGUGCCAGCAGCCGCGGUAAUACGUAGGGUGCAAGCGUUAAUCGAAUUUGAUUGGGCGUAAAAGCGUGCGCAGGCGGUUCGGAAAGAAAGAUGUGAAAUCCCCAUAGCUUAACUUUGGAACUGCAUUUUUAACUACCGAGCUAGAGUGUGUCAGAGGGAGGCACCCGCGUGUAGCAGUGAAAUGCGUAGAUAUGCGGAGGAACACCGAUGGCGAAGGCAGCCUCCUGGGAUAACACUGACGCUCAUGCACGAAAGCGUGGGGAGCAAACAGGAUUAGAUACCCUCUGGUAGUCCACGCUCCUAAACGAUGUCAACUAGCUGUUGGGGCCUUCGGGCCUUGGUAGCGCAGCUUAACGCGGUGAAGUUGACCGCCUGGGGAGUACGGUCGCAAAGAUUAAAACUAAAGAAUUGACGGGGAUCGUACGUUGUAGGAUGAUGUGGAUUAAUUCGAUGCAACGCGAAAACCUUACCUACACCCUUUGACAUGUCUGGAAUCCUGAAGGAGAUUUUGGGAGUGCUCGCCAAGAGAACCGAACACAGGUGCCGUGGCUGGCUGUCGCCGUCGCAAGUCGUGAGAUGAAGUUAAGUCCUGUAACGAGCGCAACCCUUGUCAUUAGCUACGAAAGGGCACUCUAAUGACUGCCGGUGACAAACCGGAGGAAGGUGGGGAUGACGUCAAGUCCUCAUGGCUCCUUAUACAGGGCUUCACAUCGUCAUGAAUGGUCGACAGAGGUCGCCAACCGCGAGGUGGAGCCAAUCCAGAAACCCGGAUUCGUAGUCCGCAUGGAUCGCAGCCCAAACUGACUGCGUGAAGUCGGAAUCUGCUAGCAAUCGCGGAUCAGCAUGUCGCGGUGAAUACGUUCCCGGGUCUUGUACACACCGCCCGUCACACCAUGGGAGUGGGUUUUACCAGAAGUAGUUAGCCUAACCGUAAGGAGGGCGAUUACCACUUCUAGGAUUCAUGACUGGGGUGAAGUCGUAACAAGGUAG